CUGGUCGCCGGGACUGCAGCUGUGGGCGACCCGGUCUCCUGACGCACCCGCGGGUUUUGACACGGUCUCUGCAUCUUUUGCGUCUGUGCGCACGUGCAGCGUUACCUGCACACGCAGCGUUACCUACACACGCUGCUUAAGCCCUGGCCGGUUCGUCCUUCCUCUCGCCGUCCUCUCAGCCGGCUCUCCGCUUUCCCUGGCAAGCAUUUCUGGGCAUGGUUCACGCCUCUUGCAUUUUUUUGGUGUGUGUUUUCUCUGAACUAAAAACGAAACAAACUCCUGUUAUCUCGAGUGGUUUCUGUAGCGGCGCUGGACCGGAACACCCCAGCCGCUUUCUCUCGGUGAGGGAGGUGAGCGGGUUAGUCAGACCAUUUCUCACACGCGGAAACUGAGGCCUGCGGGGAGGCGGCCCCCGACAGAGAUGAGGAAAGUCAAAAAGACGCGGAUGAGGCCCAGGAAGUUUUGUGCAGAGAUUUCAAGGAGAAGGGAAGGCGGAGUGCUUACCCUGGGAGAGGAACGGCAGCGACAGAGCACGUCUCAGGAAAGGCAGGAGGCUGGAGUCCUGGUGGGGGUGUGUUAAAGUGUGUGAACAAGUUUGAGGAAUGGUACUGGAAACCAGGCUGCCACCACUUCAAGACCGAAGCCACUGUCAUGCUGCGGAGGGGGUAGAGUAAUGAAACAGGAAGUUGUGUUUGGCUGAGGACAAGCUCUUCCAGUGCCCCUGGGACUUACAAGAUGUUUGGAAUGAGGAACGGACCAAGGACUAAGCUCCCUCUACACCAGACCAUAUGGAGGACGGGCCGGGGGCUUCCUCUGAGCUUGGAAGAGCUGAGCUCUGUGUAAAAUGUUUGGAGUCUGGAUCUUGACAAUAGCUCAGAGGAGAAGGCAGCCUGGAGGGGUGUGAAGGCUGCGUCCUUGCUGCCAAACCUGGGCUCUUGGCCCAAACAAGACUGCGGACACAUGCAGCUCCUGGUACUGAUGUAAACUCCGCUUGGCCACGUUCAUCCCAGAGCUGAAAUCCAUGUGGAAAAAUCUGCCCCACCCGCCCUUUCCAGAAUCUGACCAGAUGGGCGCCUCGCUCCAGCUCUUAGAGUUGAUCAGUCCCUGGUGUUUGGCUAACGUGGCUCUCAGCAGGGAUCUGGGCGACACGGCGGCCUUGGGUGUGCCAAGCCCCGUGAGCUGGGGUGUUUGGGGUGCUGGGGUGCUGGUGGGGACAGUGUUUCAGCUUUGCUGUAGGCCCAGGGCUUUAUGUUGGAUGGAGAAACCUUAGUUCUUCUUCUCUCCUGGGGUAAAAGCAUUUGGGUUUCACAGGCUGGGAAGAAAGCGAAGAGGACUGAGGAAGCCCGUAACUGGCUGUCUGCUGUUCCCGCCUCACGCCCAGCUGGGGCCAGCCGCUUGGUCUGGGGCAGCUGUGAGAGCACCCCGGGGCCCAUGUGUCUCGUGCCUAAGAGCCCCAGUGUCUGACUCUCCCACACCCCAUGCUGCUUUCUUCUGUGUCUGUUGAGUUUAAAUUUGAAAAGACUCCCGAGUUGUCUCCUGUGGACUGAUGCUGUUCUCUGAGCCGGACGCGGGUGAGGGAGGCAGCAAGGAGUGCAGUGCGGCCGCCUGACCUGACGCAGCCCUGCCCUCCCUCUCUGGGGGGGUCUCCCUCUCCAGUGGAGUCGCUCUUUCUGGGGGGGUGGUGUGCAGGGGCGGGGAAAGUAGCCCAGGAGUGGAGAAACCUAGGUUCUCUUCUGGCUGACAUCACCUAUCGCUGUGACCUGAGAGGAGUUACAUGACGUCUUUAUGCCUUAGUUUCUUCAUCUGUAAAUGGGGGAUAAGGGUCUUGGCCUUGAUAGACUGUUUUUAGGAAUCAACCAAGGCCACAGAAGUGAAAACCUGUAAAUAAAUACCAGGGGCUUUAUGAACGUGUGGCUUUAAGGUGUGGAAAGGCAUCUGGAGUGCUCAGAUUCAUGAAGCCCUGAGGCUGCCAGGGUCCCCCUGCCUCCCCCUCUUCCCUAAGAGUCACCUGCAGGAAGGACAGGACUCCCCUGGUGUGGGGUGAAAGGUCCUUCCCAAAACAGGCCUGGAGUUGCUGCUUUCUGGCAAAGAUCUUGGAGACUCAGUGCAGCCCCAUUGCUGAUUGACUCAGAGAUGAUACAUCCCUGCCCAUGUGGCCUCUGGCCGCCCUGUGAGCCGCCCUCUCUGUGGGCCAGACCCUGAGCCAAGUGUUCUGCCCAUCUCGUGACUCCUUACGAUGUCUCUGAGAUGGAGAGGAUGCUGGUGUUUUAUAAAGAAACUGAAGCUCAGUACUCCACGGGUCUGGAGUAGCAGCUACAAUUCAACU